rnacentral:rRNA from 1 species
UAAUAGUGUAUAUUAAAGUUGUUGCAGUUAAAAAGCUCGUAGUUGAAUGUUGGUGUCGAACGAGCGGUCAGCUUCGGCUGUACUGCUCUCUCGACUCCUUCCUUCUGUGGACUACGUCGCACUUUACUGUGUGGCGCUAGGACGCAGAUCGUUUACUGUGAAAAAAUUAGAGUGUUCAAAGCAGGCCGUACGCUUGAAUACAUUAGCAUGGAAUAAUGGAAUAGGACGUCGGGCCUAUUUUGUUGGUUCUAGGACCGUCGUAAUGAUUAAUAGGGACAGUUGGGGCCGUUUAUAUUCCGUAGUCAGAGGUGAAAUUCUUGGAUUUACGGAAGAUAAACUACUGCGAAGGCAUUCGGCAAGGAUGUUUUCGUUAA